AUUGAACGCUGGCGGCAGGCUUAACACAUGCAAGUCGAGCGAGCGGCGGACGGGUGAGUAAUGUCUGGGAAACUGCCUGAUGGAGGGGGAUAAAUACUGGAAACGGUAGCUAAUACCGUAUACCAUCAGAUGUGCCCAUAUGGGAUUAGCUGGUGGGUGGGGUAAUGGCUCACCAAGGCGACGACCCCUAGCUUGUCUGAGAGGAUGACCAGCCACACUGGGACUGAGACACGGUCCAGACUCCUACGGGAGGCAGCAGUGGGGAAUAGUGCACAAGGGGCGCAAGCCUGAUGCAGCCAUGCCGCGUGUGUGAAGAAGGCCUUCGGGUUGUAAAGUACGUUCAGCUGGGAGGCGUUACUCGCAGAAGAGGCACCGGCUAACUCCGUGCCAGCAGCCGCGGUAAUAC
rnacentral:rRNA from 1 species